rnacentral:lncRNA from 1 species
UUAAAAAGAGCUUUAGCUAUUCACCUUCCAUUGGCAGCUUCUCAGUCAGGGACAGCCAGGCUUUAUGCAGUCACCAUAAUGAGAAAGACUUUUGUUUGAUAUAACAGCCUGGCUGGAGACUGAAGAGACGGGAUAGAGGCAGGGGAGUUCAAUCCUCUUCACUUUUGUGUGAAGGACAAUUGAAGCACUUUUUUUAGGAUGAAAAAGGUAAUUUCCUAUAUAGUAAAAUUCAGGAAAAGAAUUUGUUUCUGAGAGUCUACAGAGCAUGUAAGUGAAAAGCAGUAUAUAAAAUACUGAAGAUGCUAGAAUGAAUGUUAUGCAAACAAAAACUCUAAAGUCAAGCUUCAAAAGUCAAAAGAAAACUCUCUGAAGAAUUUCAAAUUAACCUCAUGCCUUUUGGGGAGUUUAAGCAUUGUUGGAGAAAUUGUCUACAAAAGUUGAAGGAACCUAGAAACAGAAACUUUAAAUCUCCCCCUUCUCUUGGGACACAAAGGAGAACCUGCCAUUAUUUCAACAUUGUAGUCCCUGAAGCAAACUAUGCAAAUGGCGAAAGAGAAAACCAAGCAUGUUUCCUCUUGAAAAGAAAAAAGAAAUAAGUAAGCUAUAUCUAAUUUAGUAAAAUAAAAGACAAAAGUGAUUAUUUGAAUAUAUUAAAAAAGUGGCUU